AGGGUAUGGAGAUAUCCAACUUAUAUAAAGCGUUUAAAGACAGACAAGCUUAGAUCUAGAUCUGAUAAAUACUAGUUCAUAGGAUAUCUUAAGAAAACUAAAAGGUACUACUUCUAUCUCACUAAAGAAUAAAAGGUGUUCUUCAGCAAUAGGACAGUCUUUUUAGAAAAAAAUUUUUUGAGAAAGGAACUAAUCCACUAAAAUCGAACUUAGUGA
rnacentral:lncRNA from 1 species